GAUGAACGCUAGCUACAGGCUUAACACAUGCAAGUCGCGGGGCAGCAUGUUGGUUGCUUGCAACCGAUGAUGGCGACCGGCGCACGGGUGAGUAACGCGUAUCCAACCUACCUAUUACCACGGGAUAACCCGGCGAAAGUCGGACUAAUACCGUAUGUGGUCUUCAAGUGGCAUCAGCAGUAGACUAAAGGUUUGGCGGUAAUAGAUGGGGAUGCGUCCGAUUAGUUAGUUGGCGGGGUAACGGCCCACCAAGACAUCGAUCGGUAGGGGUUCUGAGAGGAAGGUCCCCCACACUGGAACUGAGACACGGUCCAGACUCCUACGGGAGGCAGCAGUGAGGAAUAUUGGUCAAUGGGCGCAAGCCUGAACCAGCCAAGUAGCGUGCAGGAUGACGGCCCUAUGGGUUGUAAACUGCUUUUUAAGGGGAAUAAAGAGGGACACGCGUGUCCUGUUGCAUGUACCCUUGGAAUAAGGACCGGCUAAUUCCGUGCCAGCAGCCGCGGUAAUACGGAAGGUCCAGGUGUUAUCCGGAUUUAUUGGGUUUAAAGGGAGCGUAGGCCGCAGGUUAAGUGUGUUGUGAAAAGCAGUCGCCCAACGUCUGCCUUGCAGCGCAAACUGUCCUGCUUGAGUGCGCACAACGCAGGCGGAAUUCGUCGUGUAGCGGUGAAAUGCUUAGAUAUGACGAAGAACUCCGAUUGCGAAGGCAGCUUGCGGGAGCGCAACUGACGCUGAAGCUCGAAGGUGCGGGUAUCGAACAGG
rnacentral:rRNA from 1 species